rnacentral:tRNA from 1 species
GCCUGGGUGGCUUGGUCGGUUAAGCGUCCGACUUCAGCUCAGGUCAUGAUCUCACAGUCCGUGGGUUCGAGCCCCACGUCGGGCU